rnacentral:rRNA from 1 species
GACCCUAUAGAGUUUUAUAAGUUAAUAGUUUUAAAUUAUUUGGAAUUUCUUAUUUUAAGUUAUUAAUUUAUUUGGUUGGGGUGACUAAAAAAUUUAAUUAACUUUUAUAUAUUUUAUACACUUAUUUGUGGCUAUUUGAUCCAUUUUUUAUGAUUAAUAGAUAAAAUUACCUUAGGGAUAACAGCGUAAUUUUUCUUGAGAGUUCAAAUCGAAAGGAAAGUUUGCGACCUCGAUGUUGGAUUAAAAUAAACUUUUGGUGCAGCAGCUAGAAAAGUUUGGUCUGUUCGACCAUUAAAAUUUUACAUGAUCUGA